rnacentral:rRNA from 1 species
CACGUAGUUAGCCGUGGCUUUCUAAUUAGGUACCGUCAAGACGUGCACAGUUACUUACACAUUUGUUCUUCCCUAAUAACAGAGUUUUACGAUCCGAAGACCUUCAUCACUCACGCGGCGUUGCUCCGUCAGGCUUUCGCCCAUUGCGGAAGAUUCCCUACUGCUGCCUCCCGUAGGAGUCUGGACCGUGUCUCAGUUCCAGUGUGGCCGAUCACCCUCUCAGGUCGGCUACGUAUCGUUGCCUUGGUAAGCCAUUACCCCACCAACUAGCUAAUACGGCGCGGGUCCAUCUAUAAGUGAUAGCAAAACCAUCUUUCACUUUAGAACCAUGCGGUUCUAAAUAUUAUCCGGCAUUAGCCCCGGUUUCCCGGAGUUAUUCCAGUCUUAUAGGUAGGUUACCCACGUGUUACUCACCCGUCCGCCGCUAACGUCAAAGGAGCAAGCUCCUUAUCUGUUCGCUCGACUUGCAUGUAUUAGGCACGCCGCCAGCGUUCAUCCUGAGCCAGGAUCAAACUCU